UACAGUCAAGUCAAGUUCAGUCCCUGUCCUGUCAUAGCAGGCCCAGAUGGCUGACAGAACAAGCUCUGCUGUUCAUGGGCCCUGAAUCUCCUAUCCUGGGACCUGGGGAUAAGUUUGGCUGCAGACAUUG